CUAAAAAAUGGUGGGGAAAUGUGCAGACCGGCAAACCCUGUGCAGCUGAAUCCCAUGAUUGGUUUAGUCCAGGCCCCGUGCCCGUCCCUGUCCUACAGACCCCACAGUGACAGGUGUCCAGGCCCCGUCCCACAGACCCCAUGGUGACAGGUGUCCAGGCCCCGUCCCUGUGCCACAGACUCCAUGGUGACAGGUGUCCAGGCUCCAUCCUACAAAUGCCCAUGGUGACAGGUGUCCAGGCUCCAUCCUACAGAUGCCCAUGGUGACAGGUGUCCAGGCCCCGUCCCACAGACCCCAUGGUGACAGGUGUCCAGGCCCCGUCCUACAGACCCCAUGGUGACAGGGUCCAGGCCCCAACCCUGUCCCACAGACCCCACGGUGACAGGUGUCCAGGCCCC